rnacentral:lncRNA from 1 species
AGGGGUUUAAAUAGCAACAAAUGAGUAGAUAAAAGAGAUGGAAAAAGAUUUAUAUCCACUUUUUAUUUUUGAGAACUGGUAAAUAUUUAGCAUCAAAAUCAAUGUUUCUUAAUUUUCAAUGUGUUACAUCAAAUGUGAUGAUUUCAUUUUUAUGUAGUGACAUGAGCUUUGUAAUUACUAACAUCCAUCUCAAAGUAACUGUGAAACCUAAGCAACCACAUGAGCCACUGCUGACAAUAGCAUAAAUCAUUUAACAUGUCUUCCAUUAAUUUAAUAAUGCACAACAUUGCAAGCAAUUAAAAGCUAUCCAGGCA